rnacentral:rRNA from 1 species
UCGCUACUACCGAUUGAAUGUUUUAGUGAGGUAUUUGGAUCGGGCCUUUGGGAGAUUCGUCUUCCAUUGUUGCCUGAAAAGACUCCCAAACUUGAGCAUUUAGAGGAAGUAA